rnacentral:rRNA from 1 species
UACGUAGGGUGCAAGCGUUGUCCGGAAUUAUUGGGCGUAAAGAGCUCGUAGGCGGUUUGUCGCGUCUGCUGUGAAAAUCCAGGGCUUAACCCUGGACCUGCAGUGGGUACGGGCAGACUAGAGUGAUGUAGGGGAGACUGGAAUUCCUGGUGUAGCGGUGAAAUGCGCAGAUAUCAGGAGGAACACCGAGUGGCGAAGGCAGGUCUCUGGGCAUUAACUGACGCUGAGGAGCGAAAGCAUGGGGAGCGAACAGG